rnacentral:ncRNA from 3 species
CAAGCUUGUGUCUAUAGGUAU